AUGGCCACCAGCCACCGUUUGCCACAAUUUUAUGCCCAGGAGCUCCGUCUGCCUCGUCUACUUCAUCUACGGCCAUCAGUUCGAGUCCCCUCGCGCUACAUCGCCAGGAUCGAGUCUUCUUCCUCCUUCGGCCACUUCCGUUCUCCAUCGACCCCGUCACCGUUCUGCGCUCCUAAGCUCUCAACGAGCCUCCGUGCGCUCCUUGACCCCGAGACUGUCGGCGACCCUCAGUUCGACUACGUCACCGACGACCCCUCCUUCUUGCCAGAGCAACCAGACGUUGGAGUCCAGGAGCCAGAGGAUCCCGAGGAUGGUUCUGCAAGGAGUUCGGCUUUGAGGAGUAGUUAG
rnacentral:rRNA from 1 species